UAAUGGCAGGUCAGCAUACUGCCGUGAAUACGUUCCCGGGCCUUGUACACACCGCCCGUCACACCAUGAGAGUUGGGAAUACCCGAAGCCUGUGAGCUAACUCUAAGGAGGCAGCAGUCGAAGGUAGAAUCAAUGAUUGGGGUGAAGUCGUAACAAGGUAGC
rnacentral:rRNA from 1 species